ACUGUCAUCAGUUGGUACAUUCCUAGUUCGGUUUUAGCCAUUAAUCUCGAUUAUGUAUAUAUUUUAUGAUUGAAAUUAAUGGCUAAAACUAUUGAAACAUCAGUAUUUCUAAAUUACUCGAAACACUUUCUAUAUUUUUUAUUUAAACAAAUUGGUUUGUAAUUGUACCAAACAAUGACAGUAACAGAAAAAAAAAAAAAACAUCAGAGUACAUGACUGUGGUUUGAUCUGAGCUUACAUUGCUCAUAUCAUGUGUUCUCAGGUCGCCCCUGCGGGAUUUUCUCUACCAAAUUACGGGAUUGUUUUCAAAGUGUAUUUGAUUGUGGAUGCAGUUCCCACAAAUGAAAUUGGAGGUAAAAUAAAAAGGGAGAAAACCAGAAGAACCGGCAGCGCGAGGCAACAUGCCGAUAGGACAUGGGUUCCAUGACUUUGCCAGAGUCCACACUUGUGGUUUUUUAGUCUCGCAAUCCAUAGCCAUUGGAUUUUUCUUCUUCAUAAUCUGUUGUUUAACUGACUCUAGCUUUCUAGCUGCUUCAUGUAUACAUUCCUCAAAUUGGGAUAUAUUCUUUGAAUUCAAUAAAGAGUUAUCAUCAUCAGAAAUUUCUAAAUUGGACAAACAAAUAGUAGAAACCUUUCUAACUCUAUCCAACAAAGAGGUAUCAUCCAUCAGUACUGCAAGAUAAAGGGCUGAAUCCAUAAGCUGCUUGUUGCAGAGUCGUGAUACUAGAAGACAUUUUCGAAGAAGUUCAACCAAAACUCCUUUAGGCAUUUUUGAUGCUGCAGAAGGGGUUUUGCAGAGAAUUCCAACAAGCCAUGCAAACAAAGAAGAAAGAUGAUGACGUUGGUAAGACACUGCAAACAAAGGACAUAAAAGUCAUGCC